rnacentral:lncRNA from 1 species
CUGUGCUCCACUAGUCCUAGCUGGAUCGUGGACAUAUUACCAUCAUUACAAAUAUCAAUAGUUUGUGAUUACUUCAAACAAUUCGAAGUUGAAGGACCCCAGAUAUCCUUUAAAACAGGAAUCUGCAGGCAUAUGCUGAACCCACGAAUACAGAGGGAAAACUGUGUCCACAAGAUAUAAUGCUGAGAAAGGCUAAUAAAUCAAACCAAUCUAACGUCUAAAUACAGAAUAGAAAAAUACGUCUUCUAAUUUACUUUAAAAUGAUGACUGGAUGAAUACGUAACCACUGCUUUGAAUGGAACACUUCAACUGGAAGACUUUUUCACAUGACCCAGGGAAAGGCACAAAGAAACAAACCUUGUGAUGCUCUAAAAUAAUAAAUUCAUUUGGCCAACACCAUGCACAGAAUGGAAAGCUUUUGCCUCAUUUUUCUUCCCCCUGCCUUCAGAUUUUCAGUGUUUUAUAAAAGCAAGUGCUAAUAAACUGUGGCAUUAACUAGAGAA